CUUAAAGAUGACCAUGGGUCAAGAGUUGAUUUUGUCAGAGCAAUACAGAGAAUAUUAGCAUAGUCCCUGUGCAAGAAUUACAUGCAAAUUUAUGAAGUGUUUCAUAUUUAG